rnacentral:rRNA from 1 species
AUUGAACGCUGGCGGCAUGCUUUACACAUGCAAGUCGAACGGUAACAGGCCGCAAGGUGCUGACGAGUGGCGAACGGGUGAGUAAUGCAUCGGAACGUGCCCAGUCGUGGGGGAUAACGCAGCGAAAGCUGCGCUAAUACCGCAUACGAUCUCUGGAUGAAAGCGGGGGACCGAAAGGCCUCGCGCGAUUGGAGCGGCCGAUGUCAGAUUAGGUAGUUGGUGGGGUAAAGGCCCACCAAGCCAACGAUCUGUAGCUGGUCUGAGAGGACGACCAGCCACGCUGGGACUGAGACACGGCCCAGACUCGUACGGGAGGCAGCAGUGGGGAAUUUUGGACAAUGGGCGCAAGCCUGAUCCAGCAAUGCCGCGUGCAGGAAGAAGGCCUUCGGGUUGUAAACUGCUUUUGUACGGAACGAAACGGUCCGGGUUAAUACCCUGGGCUAAUGACGGUACCGUAAGAAUAAGCACCGGCUAACUACGUGCCAGCCGCCGCGGUAAGAC